AACGGUAAGGCCCCUUCGGGGGUACACGAGUGGCGAACGGGUGAGUAACACGUGGGUAAUCUGCCCUGCACUUCGGGAUAAGCCUGGGAAACUGGGUCUAAUACCGGAUAUGAACUCCUUCCGCAUGGUGGGGGUUGGAAAGUUUUUCGGUGCAGGAUGAGCCCGCGGCCUAUCAGCUUGUUGGUGGGGUAAUGGCCUACCAAGGCGACGACGGGUAGCCGGCCUGAGAGGGUGAUCGGCCACACUGGGACUGAGACACGGCCCAGACUCCUACGGGAGGCAGCAGUGGGGAAUAUUGCACAAUGGGCGAAAGCCUGAUGCAGCGACGCCGCGUGGGGGAUGACGGUCUUCGGAUUGUAAACCCCUUUCAGUAGGGACGAAGCGCAAGUGACGGUACCUGCAGAAGAAGCACCGGCUAACUACGUGCCAGCAGCCGCGGUAAUACGUAGGGUGCGAGCGUUGUCCGGAAUUACUGGGCGUAAAGAGCUCGUAGGCGGUUUGUCACGUCGUCUGUGAAAUCCCUCGGCUUAACCGGGGGCGUGCAGGCGAUACGGGCAGACUUGAGUACUACAGGGGAGACUGGAAUUCCUGGUGUAGCGGUGAAAUGCGCAGAUAUCAGGAGGAACACCGGUGGCGAAGGCGGGUCUCUGGGUAGUAACUGACGCUGAGGAGCGAAAGCAUGGGUAGCGAACAGGAUUANAUACCCUGGUAGUCCAUGCCGUAAACGGUGGGCGC
rnacentral:rRNA from 2 species